rnacentral:misc_RNA from 1 species
AACGCACGAGACCUGCGGACCUGCGGAGGGAUCAUUAGUGAGAAACUGCCCCUCGCGGGUAGAUCUCCCACCCUUUGUAAACUUACCUUUGUUGCUUUGGCAGGCCCGUCUCCGGACCGCCGGCUUCGGCUGGCCAGUGCCUGCCAGAGGAUUCUAAAACUCUGUCUGUCAGUGUUGUCUGAGUCUAUAUACAAUCGUUAAAACUUUCAACAACGGAUCUCUAGAUCGGAAGAGCACACG